ACAUGCCUACAACAUAGUGUUAAUGCACUUGAUGCCAUUAGAACUCCGCAGUUAAGUGUGCUCAGGCUAGAGUAGUACUAGGAUGGGUGACCACCCAUGAAGUCCUAGUGUUUUACAUGGC
rnacentral:rRNA from 1 species